rnacentral:RNase_P_RNA from 2 species
UCAGCAGGACGUUCUAUCGUUCUUUGGAUCCCGGCAACGGGGUAAAAAGAAAGGAAAGUCCGGGCAGCACAGAGCGCCAUACUUUCGGGAGAAAGAUAUCCGUGAGGGUAUAGUAGCGGAGAAGAAAAUAACCGCCCCGUACUGAUUCGUCGGAAGGGGUAAGGGUGAGAAGGUGAGGUAAGAUCUCACCGGUGCCGGUGGUGACACCGGAGGCCGUCCGCCUUUUGGGCUGAAAGACCAUGUAUACCGGCUGUCAAGGGUUGCUCGCCCGAUGCCGGGGGGUAGGUCGAUCAGAUAAAUGAUAGAGAUCCCGGACCCGGCCCUACUGGGGACGAUCGGGAUACAGAACCCGGCUUACAGACCUGCUGGAGAA